UACAAUACAAAUGAAGCAAUGUGAAAAUACAUCAGGUUCCACUAUAUAUUUUUCGGAUUCUACAAAAAAAAACACAAAGGAUUAUCACAAGUUUCAAACUUGAACUCCACAUCAUCUCAACAAGAUGCAAAUGACAACGAUACUUCAUACGAAAUAGAUGAAGAACCAUGCAUCGUUACAAA